rnacentral:rRNA from 1 species
AGAGUUUGAUCAUGGCUCAGGACGAACGCUGGCGGCGUGCCUAAAACAUGCAAGUCGAACGGUGAUAGCAAUACCACAGUGGCGAACGGCGGAGUAAUACAUGAACAACGUGCCCCAAAGACUGGGAUAGUCAGCCGAAAGGCUGGGUAAUACCAGAUGUGGCGGAAAGUCGGCAUCGACAUUCCACUAAAGGGUUUUUCGCUUUGGGAGCGGUUCAUGGCCUAUCAGGUAGUUGGUGAGGUAAAGGCUCACCAAGCCGACGACGGGUAGCGGGUCUGAGAGGAUGGUCCGCUCGAGUGGGACUGAGACACGGCCCACACACCUACGGGUGGCAGCAGUUGGGAAUCUUGCACAAUGGAGGAAACUCUGAUGCAGCGACGCCGCGUGGAGGAUGAAGGGUCUAGGCCUGUAAACUCCUUUUAUGGGGAAAGACUUAGGACGGUACCCCAUGAAUAAGGACCGGCUAACUACGUGCCAGCAGCCGCGGUAAGACGUAGGGUCCAAGCGUUGUCCGGAUUUACUGGGCGUAAAGAGCGCGUAGGCGGCUCGUUAAGUGUGAAGUGAAAGCUCUGGGCUCAACCCGGAAACUGCUUCGCAUACUGGCGAGCUAGAGGGAUGGAGAGGUUUGUGGAAUUCCUGGUGUAACGGUGAAAUGUGUUGAUAUCAGGAGGAACACCCAUGGCGAAGGCAGCAAACUGGCCAUCUCCUGACGCUGAGGCGCGAAAGCGUGGGUAGCAAACAGGAUUAGAUACCCCUGUAGUCC